AGGAAUGCAUGGGUAACCUGUCCUUGAGAAGGGAAUAACCCGCCGAAAGGUGAGCUAAUACCCUAUACGCUUCGCUUUUUUUGAAAAGUGAAGGAAAGUCAAGCCGUGGGCUUGGCGCUCUCGGAGGGGCUCAUGUCCUAUCAGCUUGUUGGUGGGGUAACGGCCUACCAAGGCUACGACGGGUAGCUGGUCUGAGAGGAUGAUCAGCCACACUGGCACUGAGAUACGGGCCAG
rnacentral:rRNA from 1 species